rnacentral:rRNA from 1 species
UACAGAGACUGCGAGCGUUAUUCGAUCGACUGGGCGUAAAGGGUGCGCAGGCGGCCAAGUGUGUGAGGCGUGAAAGCCCGGGGCUUAACCCCGGAAUUGCACCUCAAACUACAUGGCUAGAGCAUUGGAGAGGGUAGUGGAAUUCCCGGUGUAGUGGUGAAAUGCGUAGAUAUCGGGAGGAACACCAGUGGCGAAGGCGAACUACCUGGCCUGUUCUUGACGCUGAGGCGCGAAAGCUAGGGGAGCAAACGGG